UGUUUUGAUCCUAGACAUUAUAUUGCUUGUAAUUAUAAUAAUACAUGCCAGCCUCCACACACCUGUGAGUACCGCCCCACUUGGAGCCGGUAUCAGGCACACCACCACUGUGGCAGCCCAAGACACCUAGCCUCGCCACACCCCCACUGGGCCUCAGCAGUAGUAAACACUAAGCAAUAAGCCUGGACACUUGACUUGGUAAUAAUUAUACACCCGGCCGGUAAACCUCGUGCCAGCCACCGCGGUUAUACGAGGGGCCAAAAACAAUAUAUUCCGGCGUAAAAUGUGACUAAAGAGUAAUUUCAAACCGAGGGAAGAACCAAGUAUAAAGUUGUAAAAUACGCAGUGCACCAGGUAAACUUCAUCGCCCUCACUACAUAAACCUCCUUGACCUCACGAAAACUGAGACCCAAACUAGGAUUAGAUACCCUACUAUGCCCAGCCGUAAACUAUGGUGUAACUACACCCGCCAGAGAAUUACAACGCCUAGCUUGAAACUCAAAAGACUUGACAGUAUCUCACACACCCCUAGAGGAGCCUGUCCUAUAAUCGAUAACCCACGCUAAACCUUACCUGCCCUUGAACAAAUCAGCCUAUAUACCUCCGUCGCCAGUCCGCCUGUCAACAGUUAAUAAAGCGCGUACAAUAGCCCAUCGCUCACACGACAGGUCAAGGUGUAGCUAAUGGGCAUAGGCAGAGAUGGGCUACAUUUUCUCCACUAGAAAACACCUAAAAUGCAAUGAAAUGUGACUUGUAAGGUGGAUUUAGCAGUAAGCGAGGUCAGACAAGCCCCCCUGAAGCCUUCCAUGAGAU
rnacentral:ncRNA from 1 species